AGUCCGAUAUAGUAGUUUAUUUAACUUAAAAGAAAACAAAUGAAAUCAUGCCAUCUAGCUUUAUUGGCUAGAACUUUUAUAACAAACUAAAUUUUAUCUAACUCAAAGAUUCUUUCGCAUGCACUAUUUUUACAUUUUACACCUCACAACUCUCACACUGUGCAUGUAACAUAACUUUAUACUCUCUCAAACCAAAAAUAAAUAAAUUAUACACUCAAAUACAUGGUGCCAGGACAAGUUCCGUUCUUCAAGAUUAACACCAGCCACAUUUAGAAUAGAGUAUAUUCAGGAACACGUUAUCUUCUCUACAGAAAUCUGCCGUCAAUAAUAUAUUUUGGGUCUACCCGUUCUGUCAUCUGGCUUAUAUUUUUCAUGUAGCAUUCAGAUCGAAUGACUAUAAAAUUAUGUCAAUGCUUCCACAUAUUUUGGGUAGGAGACAUCUCUAUUUUCUAGAGAAAUCUUCAGAAUUUUCACAUGAAAUGUAAAUAACUCAUUCUCCUCUCUUUGAAAUAAUGGGCUUCCGGUUUUGUCGGUACUUAAAAUUCUCUUACUGUAAUAUAGGUGA
rnacentral:lncRNA from 1 species